rnacentral:tRNA from 1 species
GGGUUUUUAGUAUAUUUGGUAUAAUUAAUUGCAGAUUAAUAGGUUUUUAAGCCCUA